GCUAUCAGAGACCUACCGCUCUAUAGUGAUUCAUGACGAACAAAUAGAACGUAUGAGGAUUAUGGAACUAUGGUAUUCCGGUAUCUCUAGAAUCAUUCAAUCGGUAAUUACUUUGGGAGUCCGUCUUAACCCUUGAUGCUUACCCUUCAAUUGCCAACCUCAGUAUGCCUAGACUCCCAGACCAAGCCCAUGCAUUUAUGUGAAGUUUUGUUAAGAUUUUGUCAUGCACUUUAAUUAUUUACUUAAGGUUAAAAUGUAUCUAUAUGACCCCUUUCUUUACCAAUGUUCGGAUAUACGCUCAUUUAUAUGUAUGGGUAUGUAUAUAGAUAAAUGGCUCUCACGUAUGUGAUCCUGGCAUGUUAGUUUUAGCUCAAUGGAUGUUAUUCUAUGUUACUUUGUAAUAUUAAAUGCUUCCGUUCAGGCCC